rnacentral:rRNA from 1 species
UACAUAGGGUGCGAGCGUUAAUCGGAAUUACUGGGCGUAAAGCGUGCGCAGGCGGUUUUGCAAGCCGGAUGUGAAAUCCCCGGGCUUAACCUGGGAAUGGCAUUUGGGACUGCAAGGCUGGAGUGCGGCAGAGGAGACUGGAAUUCCUGGUGUAGCAGUGAAAUGCGUAGAUAUCAGGAGGAACACCGAUGGCGAAGGCAGGUCUCUGGGCCGAUACUGACGCUGAGGAGCGAAAGCGUGGGGAGCGAACAGG